CAUUCUCCUCCCCUAAACCCUCUUUUUUGUCACCCCCUCUCUCUUUUUCCAUUCUCCACACUUUUCUUUUCCAAAAUCGAUAGCCACCCUUAAGUCGCUGCAAGCCACACACUUUAUCCACCCAAACCGCCACACACCUUAGCUACCCAAACUGCCGCAAGCUUAUCCACCAAACACCAUAUUCCAACUGCCACCAAACUGCCACCCUAACCCACCCAAAUGUCGAUCCUUUAGCCAUUUAGUCGUCGCGCCUAGCGAAAGAUUUUCACCGAUUUUCCAAAAUUUUUAUUUUACACUCCAAAUAUGUCUAGUACUAGAAAGGGAAGUACGUCUCAAACCACUGGAUUCCAAUAUCGAUUACAUAGCAAGAAGCAACGGAGAGGUUCGAAUCAAUUUUCAAAAAGCAACUGAUUCUUCCGGACAAAGGGUUCGACUUGGAAAAUAUUGAUCCGUGAAAAGUGCUGCCAAACAUUCGAAAAAACUGUCAAUGCAUUAAAGUGGAAUAUGUUCUGUACAAAAAGACCACUUUAUGAGGUUGAAUUAGUACGAGAAUUUUACUCGAACUUGACUUCGUCCACCAAAACAGAAGUUCUUGUUUAAGGUAAAAAGGUAUUUUUUGCACCUCAAGCUAUAAAUGGUUUUUUUCACUUACCCAAUAUAAAAGACGAAUAUUAUUCUGCUAUGUUGAAAAACAUUGAGACAAAAUUACUUCAAGAAGUGCUGAAAGAAGUCACAGUUCCCAGAUCUAAAUGGGUAAUUAAGAUAUACGACAGUCACACUUGCUGAAGAGAGUUUCUGAACCCAACAGCAAAGGUACGGUUUUAUUUCAUAUGAUUCAACCUUAUGCCUAUCUCACAAAGUUCCACUAUCAUGAUGGAAUGAAUAUUCUUGUGAUAUACGAUCAUGACAGAAAGGUCUAUCGAUGUGGGAAAGAUUAUCCACAAAGAAAUUUGAGAUUAUGCAACUAAGCAGGCUGGUUACUCUUAUUUUCCAUCAUUGAUUACUCACUGCUAUGCUUGCAAUCUCACAUACUUCCGAAGGUAGAUUUCAAAGCAAGAAUCCACCCAGGCCAUAUCAUAGACAAUGACGUUGCUAGAAUAGUAGGUGGCGCUGCUAGGCAAAAGCAACCCGCUGAUGAAGAAUCCGAUACAGGACCACCCGAUCAUCUAGUUGAGCCGGAGCCUGAUUUCAUGACACCCACCGGACCUGUUAUUCUAGAAUGGGUCGAGCCUAGAACUACCUUUCCAUCAUCCAAAACUGCUGCACAAUCGGGCCAAGCUGAAAUCAUGAGCAUGCUAUAGCACAUGCAUCAAUAGUAGCAAGCUUAUUGGAGAUAUGCAAAAAUCCGAGACGAUUUGGUAAGGGGUGCAUUUAGAGAACUCACACAUAACCCAUUUGAUUCUAUGCCUGAAUUUCCAGAUUUUUUCUUUGAUCCAUGGAUGCCAACUUCAGAAGCCAAGCAAGACAAAUUCAUCACUCCGAGGAGAAUAUCUAAAUGCACAAAGGGUCGUGGGAAAGUGGAAACAAUUUCAAAUAGCGAGGAUUUUAUCAAAUAAAUGAGGGGUUGUUCUUUUUCUUUUUUUUUUCUAUUUUGGACAUGUUAGAUUUAAGUAUUUCUUUUUAUUUUCGUUUUCUGCAUAAUAAAAAUUAAAGUUGCAAUUAUGAAUAAAUUGGAUAAAUUUGCGAAUAAAAAUUUUUAAGUCUAUGAAAAAUAAGAACUGUGGUAAUGAUUAUUUGCAUGUCUAGGAUUUGAUUUGUCAAGGAAAUGCUUAGUAUUUAAGCAAUCAACUUGACUCAUCUCCCUUUCCUGGGAUCCUACCUG
rnacentral:lncRNA from 1 species